rnacentral:rRNA from 1 species
UACGUAGGGUGCAAGCGUUGUCCGGAAUUAUUGGGCGUAAAGAGCUCGUAGGCGGUCUGUCGCGUCUGCUGUGAAAACCUGGGGGCUCAACCCCGGGCCUGCAGCCGAUACGGGCAAGCUAGAAUUCGGUAGGGGAGACUGGAAUUCCUGGUGUAGCGGUGAAAUGCGCAGAUAUCAGGAGGAACACCGGUGGCGAAGGCGGUCUCUGGGCCGAUACUGACGCUGAGGAGCGAAAGCGUGGGGAGCGAACAGG